rnacentral:rRNA from 1 species
GACGAACGCUGGCGGCGUGCCUAAUACAUGCAAGUCGAGCGGAAUGAUGAAGAAGCUUGCUUCUUCUGAUUUUAGCGGCGGACGGGUGAGUAACACGUGGGCAACCUACCUUGUAGAUUGGGAUAACUCCGGGAAACCGGGGCUAAUACCGAAUAAUCCAUUUCGCUUCAUGGCGGAAUGUUAAAAGGCGGCGCAAGCUGUCACUGCAAGAUGGGCCCGCGGCGCAUUAGCUAGUUGGUAGGGUAACGGCCUACCAAGGCGACGAUGCGUAGCCGACCUGAGAGGGUGAUCGGCCACACUGGGACUGAGACACGGCCCAGACUCCUACGGGAGGCAGCAGUAGGGAAUCUUCCACAAUGGGCGAAAGUCUGAUGGAGCAACGCCGCGUGAGUGAAGAAGGUUUUCGGAUCGUAAAACUCUGUUGUAAGGGAAGAACACGUACGAGAGUAACUGCUCGUACCUUGACGGUACCUUAUUAGAAAGCCACGGCUAACUACGUGCCAGCCGCCGCCGUAACAC